CAUUCUCAGGAAGUGAAGGUACAGUGUCAGUUUUAUGAACAGACAUUUCUGUGUUGUGAAUAUUGACAGUUGUUAACAAUAUUAUUAUGUUCAUCAAGUCUGAUUCACUGAGUAAUGGUUAGAGAGGCAGAUUUACUCAGACUGCCUAUUUUUAGAUUCACUUUUUUUCCACAUGCUUUACCAGUUUCAAACGAUUCAAAAGUUUUUUUUUUUUUUUUCGCUUUUUGUUUUUUAGAUAUGCUUAUGUUAUUUAUUCUGAAUAAUAGGAGUUAUGUAAGCAACUUCACCUCUUAAGAUUUUCUCACCUAUCAAUUGAAAUUGGUAUGUUGCUCUUUAAGACUGAUCUCCGAUGAUUUUGUCAAUUCAUAUUGUUACAUGUUGUAUUGUGGAUGAGCAUAUAAACAGUGUCUGAGUAUUGCUCUGUAAACAACUGUCAGAGAAACGUUACCCAACAGGAAGUCGCUAAACAGAGAGUGUGGUCACCACUGGUAACCGUUAAUAAAACCACAGUUAGUUCCAAAACACAGCCAAAUAGACAAAAGGAGAGGUCAGUGUUGUCAUCAGACAAAUAUUAAGCAUUCAGUUGCCUGGCACUGGAAAAAGUUCUUCUCUCCUCAGAUGGUCAUGAUGUCUAAGCCAACGAUUUUGCAUUAUCACUAAGUCAUGUUAGCUAUUUCUAGCCUCCUUUAUAACUAUACUUACGUUCUUAAAGAGUCAUGUGUGUAAUAAAGCUUUAACUUCAUAAAAUAAUGAAUUAUUAAUUAUUUGUUGAGGAGCUCUAGAGUUGCAAAAGCACAGUGACUGCAUGUACAGCCCUGCAUGAGUCACUUUCGUGACAAGUUUCCUUUGAAUGCAAUAACCAGGAACUUUAUGGCCCAGGUAGCCUGUACUUCAUUCUCUGUGUUCGCUCCGUCUUACACACAGUUGAGUGCACAAGUCUUUCAAAGUCUACUCCUUUGGCUGUGAGUAGGGACUUUGUUUUUAAGUCGCUCAAGUCAUUUGCACAUGUGCUCUUAGAAUGGAUUAAAACAUUAUCAUUAGCGUUAACAUGAAGUUUCCAUAAUAAUACCAUACAUACUGUUACAUUUAAUGCUUAUCAAAAAUAUCUUAAUUUGUGUUCUGAAGAUGAACGAAAGUCUUACGGGUAUGGAUUGACAUGAGGCAAAGGAAAGAAAUUCGUACCGGUUUGGAACAACUUGAGGCUAGACAUCUCUUGGUUGUUAAAAUGAAGUUGUACAGACAUGCAUGCUGAGAAGAAGUGAACACGGGCAGGUGUCUUGACUGACAGCACAAAAGCCAGGGUUUGAGUCCCGGCAGAGAUGGGCUUUGAAUGCCUUUGGUCAACAUUGUGCUCUUCAGCCAGGAGCCCAGUUUUCAGGGCUACAAUCCCUGAAAGCAGUUUAGUUCACUAUGUACCUGAUGCAUGACAGACAAACUGAUAAAAUUGUAUGUAUAGUUUUUAGGUCAGGAACCCCAUGGUGGAUAGAAACAGAAUAGGGAGUGUUGUAGUACCAUAUUAUCUAACUAGUACCAUAUUAUAUUAUUACCAUAUUUCCAUCAAUUUUGUUUUUACUCUGUAUACCUGGUGAUACUAUUGUCUCAUGUUUACUGUUGUCUUACUGUUACUACUAUGUCACUGUUGUUGUCAGCAGUAUGAUUUUUAUCAGCUGUGGGCGCGAUAUAUGAAUAUAGAAAAUGAAACGAUGGAAAAAAUAUAAUGAAACUAAAACUGUUAAAUAUAGUUAUAAAUUUCGGCUACUGGAUAUGGUUAUGGGUUGGGUUAGGGUGUGGUUUGACCUUCUACAUCUACCCAUUACACCCAGAUUACAUCCAGAGAGGGGGAACUGGACAUCCAGGAUGGGGGAGCUGGAUAUCACACUCCACCCAUUGGCUCUGCAGUGAGCAGCCUCUUAUAAAAAGUGAUAGAAAUUACAAACAUGCCUGAUGUGCAAGACCAACAGUUAAGUAGAGAUGUUUAGAUAAAGAGGUUUGAGUGAUUAAUAAUCAGUAUCUAACCUGACGAAAACAUAUUUAUUCAAUGUUAUCCACAUUAUAUUUCAUCUGCAACAGCAUUGUGAACUUUUAUAAAGAUGUGUUUGGUUAUUAACUUUUAAAUGCAUCCUUAACACAUGAAGGGAGUUCUCCACAUGAAAGACCCAUGACUAGCAGGUCAAUAUGCUACUACAUUUUCUCAGAUAUGGUAGGAAAUUAAAUUAAAUUGAAUGUGGAGGAUUUUAACUGUGACAAGAUGAUUGACAGGGCAGUUUAAACAGUGACAGGAUUCACGUAACUAAGUGAAACAGCGGUCCAUUAAAGACGCAAUGAUGGUGAAGUAGCAUGUCCCAAAGCUUGCAUACUCUUCUGCUAGCUACACACUCAGAAGUAUGUACUUUUUCUUCACAAAAACAUACUUAAGGGCAUAUAAGUAGGUGAAUUGAAGCACAGCAUUAGACAACAAAUGCAAACAUACUUAGAAACCAUGACAACGAAGGAAACAGAAAGGAAAAACAGGAAACAAUAAGAAAUAAAUUAGAGGUCCAUGAAACACGAAACAGAAACUACACAUUACAGUUGUUUCCUUAAAGGAACUGUUUAGUUUGCAUUGCAUUGUGCUAAAAGUGAAAAGGUUGACUUUGACUUUGAUAUUAAUGUACUUGCAUACUUUGUUUUGAUGCUCACAUUAAAAAGCCAUUAAAAUACUUAUUACUGUGCUAUUAUGUUUUGAUUUUACUACAUUGUAAUGUGAGAAAGGCAAUGAAACAUCUGAUCUUUAACAUUAGCGUUGGUUGAAGUACAUUGUAAUUUUGUUUAAUGGAUAUUUUAAUUAGUUUACAAACAUGAGUUCAAACAGUAAUUGGUAGACUCCCUGCAGUACUGCUCCGGACCCCCUGUUGAACACCCCUGAUGUAAGGAGGUAAUCCUGAUUCUACAUAUAGGAGCUUAUGCUCAUGUGUGUAUUACAUCAUGGCAGCACUGAGAAUCAUUUGAUUACGAUUGUACAUGUGGAAGAUUAUCAUGAUGAAACAGUCAUUGUGUGACUGUUUUGAAAAGCAGCCUGAGCACACAGUUGCAUCAUAGUUUUAUUAGAAUAGAUCCAGCACCACAUUCAUAAAUAAUGAACAAUUCAUGUCAGUGUCAUACGGUGAUCACCUAUUGCAAAUAAAUAUUUCAUGCGACCUCCACGACAUGAUGGUGAAGGCUUUGAAUUUCUUUUAAACAAACAACCAUUUUAAACAUGAUCUAUUAUUGUUGCUUUAGGUGUUUCACUGAAGUAUAGUCAAGUCAAGUCAAGUCACCUUUAUUUAUAUAGCGCUUUUUACAAUGUAGAUUGUGUCAAAGCAGCUUUACAUUGAUAUCUGGUACAUUGUUUGACUGCACAGCAGCUCUUAAAGAAUAGUGUCAAUGCAGGCAGAUCAAAAGCACUGUUGAAUAUCAAAAUGUCAAGUCAAGUGUCCCCAACUAAGCAAGCCAGAGGCGACAGCGGCAAGGAACCCAAACUCCAUCAGGUGACAUCAGGUGGCAGACAAGUGGCAAAUUGGUGUUAAAAUGGAGAAAAAAACCUUGGGAGAAACCAGGCUUAGUCGGGGUGCCAGUUCUCCUCUGGCCAACAGUGCUUUGUUACAAUUCAGGUUGCUAUCAUAAGUCCAAUAGGAUCGCAACAUUAAAAGUAUUUAUUUCAGUUCCAUCCAAUUGAGGAUCGUAUUCAUCACGCCGGUAUGGACGGUUGUUGAGGAACUGUGUCGUGGCUGUCGUGUCGAUGAGGCCUUCACAGGGGAUGAUCUAGUUGACUCAAUCUCUGCUGAUACUUCAGGGCUGCGUUGUGGUCGUGUCAAGGUGCAGGUCCUUGGUCUCACCUGGAUACGGCCCGGAUCCGGUUGACUACGGUGAACCUCGGGAUAAACAGAAAGACUAAUAUUAGCGUAGAUGCCAUUCUUCUUCUGAUGUAACGAGUACAUCAGGUGUUAUAGGAAGUGUUCCCGGUUCCGGUUGACCUAAUUUAUGCAGCCUAAUAAUCCUUUAACGGAUUUGGAAAUAUAAAUUGGUAAUGUGUUAUGUGUAUGCCAGGUUAAAGAGAUGCGUUUUUAGUCUAGAUUUAAACUGACAGAGUGUGUCUGCUUCCCGAACAAUGCUAGGAAGAUUGUUCCAGAGUUUAGGUGCCAAAUAGGAGAAGGAUCUACCACCUGCAGUUGAUUUUGAUAUUCUAGGUAUUAUCAGCUGGCCUGAAUUCUGAGAUCGCAAUAGACGUGAAGGACUAUAAUGAAUUAGGAGCUCGCUCAGGUACUGGGGAGCUAAACCAUUUAGUGCUUUGUAAGUAAUUAGCAAGAUUUUAAAAUCUAUACGAUGUUUAACAGGAAGCCAAUGCAGUGUUGACAGAACUGGGCUAAUAUGGUCAUACUUCCUGGUUCUAGUAAGAACUCUAGCUGCUGCAUUUUGUACGAGCUGUAGUUUAUUUAUCAGGCGAGCAGAACAACCACCCAGUAGAGCGUUACAGUAAUCUAGCCUUGAGGUCAUGAACGCAUGAACUAACUGUUCUGCAUUUUUCAUUGAGAGCAUAUGUCGUAGUUUAGAUAUAUUUUUAAGAUGGUAUACAGUAAAUCUCCUUUGGGCUAUAGUUUUUAGCAUGAUCUGAACCUGUGAGUCUGUCUCUGU